CUGAGGAACACGUGGCUGACCUGCCCAUGAGUGGGGGAUAACGGGCCGAAAGGCUCGCUAAGCCCGCAUACGAUCCGCUUCGGUGGAGGAAAGCUUCGGCGCUCAUGGAGGGGGCCGCGCCCCAUUAGCUAGUUGGUGUGGUAAUGGCGCACCAAGGCUGUGAUGGGUUCCGGGUCUGAGAGGACGAUCCGGCAGACUGGGACUGAGACACGGCCCAG
rnacentral:rRNA from 1 species